rnacentral:lncRNA from 11 species
CGCAGACUAUGUAGGACGUGCCUCUCCGGCUCAAGGGUCAGGAUCAAGCCUUGUUCCCAAGAAGAAGCCAAGGCGUUCUCUCCCUAGGAUGGCACGAGGACAGAAGGCCACAGAGUGACCAUUUCUUCACGUCUUCGAGCAUCAUCUUCCAACCAGAAAGAGAGACUUGGUCUAUUUCGAGUAUGGAAGCCUCGAGGAUCCGGGAUGUCUCCGGGAAGAGUUUUUUUCUAGCAGGUGAGUCAGGGAAUUCCUAUGAAAUUAUCAGUCCGUCAAACUUUUAUAUCUCUCUCUUUUUUUAAAAAAAAAAAAAUUAUUUAAAAGUGGGGGAACAAUCGAGUGGAUAGAUGAAAGAGUGAAAGAGAGAGAGAGAGAGAGAGAGAGAGAGAGAGAGAAAGAAGCAAAAAUAAAUAAAUAAAUAAAUAAAAAUAAAUAAAAAUACC